GAGACGUGAGGUCCUCCUCCGUCGUCCCCCAACCGACAACGGCACAUAGACAGCUAUACGUGACCCGAUCGGAGCCGUCCACCACCCGAACCGACUCCGUGAUCGAGAAUCCACCAAGCACCAACCACCCUCUCUCUUAUCUCUUAUAUACGCGUUCCCCUCGCCUUGUUCUCUCCUGCUCCCGUCACCGCCCGUCGCAGGGACGGCUCAUCUUGGUUCCGUCGCGCGGAUCGUGAGUGGUGGACGAUUCGCCUUUCCAAAUACACGUCUAAGCGAAGGGAUUUUGUGGCCUUUUGCUUGUGACGUCUGAAUCGGUUGAUGCCUCAGAUCCGUCAGUUUAUGUCAUCUGCUUCAUGUUAGCAUGCCGCUGUGGAUGUGAUGUUUAUCUCCGGGGAACGCCACUCCUGCUGGUUCACAACGGGCCACGGCCAACGCCAACUGAUAUCUUCUCCAACGACGGUCGGUGGUUAAGUUAAAGAAUGCUUUCUUGAGGCUUCCUCGUCUCUGAUCAAAUGAUGUCCGUGUUGCUUUUUGCUCACAAGAUGAUGCUGGCCCGUCUCCAAACAUCACAGAAAGGUAAUUGUGUUGGUAAGCUGAUGAUGCGCAUGUGGGCACAGUGCGUAUUGUACUACUUGAUGUACCAGUACAUUGGUAGGGUAGGGCGGCCUUUGCCAUGUUGGGUGCGCUCGCUUGGCAGGCCACGAGACAAUAAAAAGUAUAUUUGGUGUUGUUUGCGGGGUGGAGAUCGCACGGGAACAAUCUAUUUGUUCUAUUUUGCCCGGGUUCUCCACCCUGCCAUGGUGUCUCUGUCCUUCUCCUGUGUUUGAUUCCAUGGCAUCAUCUGAAGUACACCACGAUCCUAUACAUAGCAAAUAUGUGGACAGGCCUGGGCGCAGCGGCAAAUACGUUGUGAGGAUCAAUUUAACUACGCACGAAGGUACAUCUAACUGCUUCUUUCAGCGUUAUAUCAAUUUAAAUUUGAAGUGACCCAGAAACAUGAGCGCUUUUCUGAAGGGUCAAUCUGAACUGACCUCGAAGUUGCCGAUCCAAAUUAUCUCAACUGACCUUUUACGACCUCGAACUGACCUUUUACGCUAUACAUGGUGGACCUUCAGUUUGAUACAAGGUUUGUCAUACCCGUAAUUUUGUACCCUUGCACCCCAAGAAUGAAAAUAGGGAAAUUCUCACGAGCCAACAACCAUCUACUUACGCAACACAGGCUAAGUGAUCGUGAGAACUUUUAGUAACUCCGCAUAUUUAUUUUAUCUUACCAUACUGUGUCCAUAGUCUUGUGGUCCUAAGAAGGCUAGUUGCUUGUUCUACUCUAUCCAUUUCCUGUUGGUUACCAUGAGUAGUUCUGUAUGUAUAUACCAUUGAAAGACUUGAUUCCUUUCUGUAUAACUUGUUAGUCUUCGUAAUUUAUUUGUAUUUUAGUUACUGGAGCUUGUCCAGAUGUUGCUGCUGCAUCAUACUAACCUCUCGUGGAAAGUUGGAUUCGUCUAUGAGGAUUACUGGAGGCAGAUCUUCAUAUCUAAUGAAGUUGCAGACAAGUUAUGAUUGUCAAUGCCAUUUUCGAUCUUGAGAAACGUUGCUAGUGUCUUGAUAUAUACCAAAACCUGAAUUGAAGAAUUAAAUUGUUCAUGUUGAUAUAUUCUGUAAGGUGCAGGCGUUGUGUCGAGGAAGCCUGGUUAGUUAGGCAAUUUCAGCUUGCCGAUUGCCUGAUUAAAUUGCAUUAUGUAAGAUUAGAGAAUCCAGCGUACGGUUUUUUCAUAGCUUAAAAUGCUAUGAAGACCGACUUAUUAUGAACUGUGAUCCAAUUUAUUGAAUACUCCCUCCGUCCAGAAAUACUUGUCGCAUAAAUGGAUGAAAAUGGAUGUAUCUAGAAUUAAAAGUACAUCUAGAUACAUUCAUUUCAAUGACAAGUAUUUUCGGACGGAGGUAGUAUUUUUUUACAGUUCUUUGGAAUUCUUAUUUUUAUGCUUAACAAGAAUAUGCUGAAUGUCGUUCUAAUUUAUCUUUAGUAAGCAGGCAAAUUCAAAUUGGCUGAAUGUUGUUUCAAGUUAGAUUGGAUUGGAGAAUCUGCAUGGCUGGUCUGAAUUGGCUUGAUCUGAAUAUUUUUGAUUUGUCAAACAAAUCUGUAAUUUAAUUUGUCUUCUAACAUCUGUCUAACGAUAUCUCUGCCUUCUUCGUCAAUUUUUUACUAAGCAGGCUUAUUCAAAGUGGGUUUGUCAUUCAAAUUCAAUUGGAUUGGAGAAUCUUGGGGCUGUGCUUGAGUCUGAAAUAGCUUUGAGCUGAAUAUUUUUCAAUUUAAAAGAUAAAAGAUGAAUAAAUGGUUGAUCUUCAGCUCUGAACUGGAAAGAGCAUUCCAGCAAACAAAUUGCUGGGAAUGAUGGUUCGACUCCAUCAAGAUCCUUCGUAAAAAGAAAUGGGAUGUAAAUUUGAUCACUCGCCAUUCUAUCCUCAUGGUGCCGAAGAAAUUCUAGACGUGUGUAUUCAAGGAUCGGUGGACAAUGACUUUUAUUGCAUGGCACUAUCUGUUCUCCGUAAAAAGGGCGCAUAAUCUGGCCUUGAAGCGUAAGGAGCACAAGGAGGAUUGUCGGCAAUCUCCGUAAAAAGGGCGCAUAAUCUGGCCUUGAAGCGUAAGGAGCACAAGGAGGAUUGUCGGCAAUCAAGUAGAGGCGUGAAUGGGGAUAUGGAGUUUUGGAAUGUCAUAUAGAAGGCCAAUGUCUUUUAGAAGAUCAGAAUUUUGUUUGGCAUGCGACAUCUAAUAACCUGGCGAUCCAGGUGAAUAGAGUUAUGCACCAUCUGGCUGCUCCGGGUAUGUACUCUAUAUUUGUGGGGUGGAAGAUGAAAGCAUGUCCCAUGCUCUGAUGGCUUGCCCCGAGGAGAGCUCUACGCAUGGAGUUGAAGGAAGUUUGGAAUAUUCUGGGGAGUGAAAUCUUCAACUUCUCAAGUCUCGAUUGGAUGCUUCUCUUGUUGGAUCAGUUAACCUCAACAUACCUUAUUCAUAUUCUAGGGAGCUUGGCACUUAAGAAAUGAUCUAAUUGUUUGAUAAGGGUAACCAUUUUGUUUCAAACUUUGCUAAUCUUGUGGAUAACUAGUGGUUGUCGUUCUUGUCUUACCAUUCCAAUGUAGAGUCGGUCCCAGUGUCAAAGUUAAAGUAGUAGUGGAUGGGAUAAGUACACCUCGUAGUAUUCAUGAGGUAUGACAACCUCCACCUUUGGAUUGUAAUAAGAUAAAUGUGGAUGCUAAUUUUGUGGAAUC